rnacentral:tRNA from 1 species
GGGCCUUACGCAGAUAUUAGUUUGUCUGCACUCGGCUCAUAACCGAGAGUCGAAAGACCGUUGUGGGUGCAAUUCCCUCAAGGCCUA